GUAAGCAGUUCUGAGCUGCGGGAGCUGCACCAGGUUGUGUUCGUGGAAAUGGAAGGUUUGACCGCACAGCGUCAGAGCUUUCUGAUGUGCUGUGGGGAGCUGUGAACAAAUCCCCAUCAGAAGGCACUGUGGGGGCUUUUCUCAGCUCCCCCUUCACCUGCAAGUGCUCAGCUCCCGUCCCUGCCUCUGCCUCUGCUUUUCCUGCAGAGGCACAGCCGGGGGCACACGGAUGGGGAGGAGAAAGCAGAACUGCACCAGGAUCCCCUAUAGGCCCGGAUCCCACACCAGAACCGAGAGCUGCUGGCGUUCCCACUGCCCGGUGGGUCCGUUCCCAUUUUGGGUCGCAGCGAAACGGAUCUGUUGGCUGGAAGGGCUCCGCGUGGGCGAAACUCCCUCUGCUCCCAGAGCCGGUUCAGGUUUCUGCUGCGUGGAGGAGCAGUGCUGGAGUUGGCCAUAAACUGUGCUGCUGGAUGAUACGAGAGCACAUAACAACCCGCCAGGACUGAACAGCUGUCCACGCUGAGCACACACCGUGUCAGCAUGAGUACUGAUGACCAAGAGCUUGCAGAGAACAGCUUUGCUUUGCAGCUCUCCCACUGAAGGCAGCCCCGUCCCCCAAGGCUCGGGGCUAUUUCCCAGGCAGCCCCACACCCCCACCUCCUGCUGCCCUUCAGCCACCCCAGCACACCGCAUUCUCCGGUGUCUUAAACCACGACCCCACGUCAGACUCGAGCCAGCACUGCCCUCUUCCUAUGUCUGCUGAUCUGCUUUCCGUGUGUCCUUUUCUAAGGGGGGAAGCCUGAAGGAAAGGAGAGGGAUGCUGAGCAGAUCACCUGCCCGUUCUGAAAACAAACACAAGCAAAAGGCACUUCUGCGGGCCCAAAGCUGUGCUCCAUUCAUCCCUCCUGGAGAAUGGGUGCAGCCACUAACGAGGGCUGAAAGGCAGCAAGGGGAAAUAGCCACCGUGGGGCUGCGCCAGAGCCAUCCCCACCCACAUGUCAGUGGGUGCCUGGGGCUCUUUCUGCCCUUUAACACUCACAUUGGCUCUGGG
ensembl:lncRNA